CUGGGAUAAUGGCAAUGUUUUUCAUCAUCAGCAAUUUACGUAGUGAAUGUUGGUAACUUCAGUUCUGAGUAA